rnacentral:rRNA from 1 species
UACGGAGGGUGCAAGCGUUAUCCGGAUUCACUGGGUUUAAAGGGUGCGUAGGCGGCUAUUUAAGUCAGUGGUGAAAGCUUACAGCUUAACUGUGAAACUGCCAUUGAAACUGAAUAGCUUGAGUACGAUUGAUGUGGGCGGAAUACAUCAUGUAGUGGUGAAAUGCGUAGAUGUCGGGAGGAACACCAGUGGCGAAGGCGGCAUCCUGGCCAUGUCCUGACGCUCAGGGGCGAAAGCGUGGGGAGCAAACCGG